rnacentral:lncRNA from 1 species
UGAUGAUGAAAAUUUUUAAAAGACCAAUUGUCUAAGAAAAAAUUUAGAAAGACUAAAAUAAAAAAUUUGAGUAUUUAUAUAGAUCAAAAAUAUAUUUAACUCCAAUAUUAAUAAAUGUGAUAUUAAUGAUUAUUUUACAACCGUUGAACGAUGUGAAAUUUAAACUUCCUCCUUUGAUUAAUUGAAAGGAUGAAAUUUUUUUGAACAUAUUAAGGAAAUGAAAAAGAGCUGUUUCAUAAUCAUGGAAGAGGCAAAAAAAAAAAACAGCAACACUCUCUAGAUUAAUUCAACUAAAUAAUUUUUGAAUAAACUAUACCAAUAGUUUUAUGGAUGAGGUCGUGUACCCUCAAAGCAUUUCAUUCGAUUAAUCCAAUUGUUGAGACAUGAAAGAGUUGAUCUCUCAGCCGUUGGAUUGUAUGGGUUGGGAACUGGAGAGGAUUCUAGGUGGUAUUAUUAAUUUAUUACACGAGGCUAUAUGAGAUGUAUAUAGCUUUAAGACAAACCCCUUUUGUCACCUUGCAAUAAUUCUCCAAUCUUUACGAGGAUUUUCAAGACACUCUAUAAAAGGGUGACCACUUUCUAAGACAAACCUGGCGCUAUCCACCCACAGAUCUUGAAAUUCUAAUCAUCAGAUCACUUACACGAGCAGAUAAGGAUGGUUUGGAGACAAGGAUUACUUUUGAGUUUGAUUAAGGUCAUGUUUGGUGGAUAUAUAGUGGAAAAGUCUAUUAGAAAAAAAUCAUUCAUGUGCUUGUAAAAUUUUGCUCAGACGCUACUUUUCGCCAUCAAAGUUCUGUUUGCUAAAAAUAACAUAUUGUUGUUAAGUUGUUUAUAGAGGAUGGUCAGUUUAUAGCGGCUAACUUGUAAAUUAAUUUAUAAUUUAUAAUUUAAAAUAGCGGAUAAGUUAACUAAUCAUGCAAAACCCUCAUAUUAGGUGACAGAGUUCGAGCAUGCAAAGCCCCCACAUCUAGGGGUGUUCGUGGGUGGGUUUGGAUUGGGUUUGGUCAAACCCAAAACCAAACUAAAUAGGAUACUCCGGUU